UCCAGACUCCUACGGGAGGCAGCAGUGGGGAAUAUUGGUCAAUGGGCGUAAGCCUGAACCAGCCAAGUCGCGUGAGGGACGACGGCCCUACGGGUUGUAAACCUCUUUUGCCGGGGGACAAACGGCGGCACGCGUGCCGUCCUGAGGGUACCCGGAGAAAAAGCAUCGGCUAACUCCGUGCCAGCAGCCGCGGUAAUACGGAGGAUGCGAGCGUUAUCCGGAUUUAUUGGGUUUAAAGGGUGCGUAGGCGGACGCUUAAGUCAGCGGUAAAAUUGCGGGGCUCAACCUCGUCGAGCCGUUGAAACUGGGUGCCUUGAGUGGGCGAGAAGUACGCGGAAUGCGUGGUGUAGCGGUGAAAUGCAUAGAUAUCACGCAGAACUCCGAUUGCGAAGGCAGCGUACCGGCGCCCAACUGACGCUGAAGCACGAAGGCGUGGGUAUCGAACAGGAUUAGAUACCCCUGUAA
rnacentral:rRNA from 1 species